UGAGACAGAGAUCCACUUCAUCCUUCCAACAGGCAAGCAAGUCCAGUGGAAUUGUACCCUUCCAGUGUCCUACUGCAAAGCAGACCUUGAUGAAUCUUCGGAUGCUGCAGACUAUCUUCCAGACUCAUGUGGCAAUUCCUCGGAUGCUUCUAUUAUAAGUACUACAAGUUCUUGUAGUAAGGAAUAUAAAACCACAGAAAAGAAUCUCCACCACAAAUUGUCAGAGAACAAACCAUUAGGGAAUGUUACAGCACACAGUGGGGAUAGUACCACCAGUUCAGAGAAGCCAAGAACAUUAAGUUAUUCAAAGAUGCGCAGCAAUCCUUGUACUUCAGUAAUAAGCUGCAGUGCCAAUUCAUCAGAGAACACAUCACACCAGAAAAGCUCCAUAAAUGUCACACCUUUGUCAAUAACAGCAAAAGGAAGCAAGUACAACAAGAAGCAAUUUUGUCUUUAUUGUAAAAAGGCCAUUUAUAAAUUGGCAAGACACCUCGAAUCCAUCCACAGUGAAAAGCCUGAUGUUGCAAUGGCUUUCAGUUUUAAUAAAGGAUCCCGCAAAAGAAGAGAGUUGUUACGCUCUCUUAAGAAGAGAUGAAACUUUGACCAUAAUACUGAAGUGGCAAGCUGUGG